AAUUCUCAACCUUGCAGACUUUGUUUGCGAGGCUUGGAUGUGAGGGUUUUGCUGGCUUCCUUUGUUGGAUGGUCUGCUCCCUUUAAAUUUAUUAGUGGGAUCCUUUGUGGAUGGUCGCUUGGUGUGAUAAUUAUCUACGCCGCUUGACUCUGACGCAAGACUUGUGGGAACCUGCUUAUAACCGUCUCUUCGGAGACUAUCUUUUGACAAU
rnacentral:misc_RNA from 1 species